AGCGGCGGACGGGUGAGUAACGCGUGGGUAACCUACCUAUAAGACUGGAAUAACUUCGGGAAACCGGAGCUAAUGCCGGAUAACAUUUGGAACCACAUGGUUCUAAAGUAAAAGAUGGUUUUGCUAUCACUUAUAGAUGGACCCGCGCCGGAUUAGCUAGUUGGGAAGGUAACGGCUUACCAAGGCAACGAUACGUAACCGACCUGAGAGGGUGAUCGGCCACGCUGGAACUGASACACGGUCCAGACUCCUACGGGAGGCAACARUAGGGAAUCUUCCGCAAUGGACGAAAGUCUGACGGAGCAACGCCGCGUGAGUGAUGAAGGUUUUCGGAUCGUAAAACUCUGUUAUUAGGGAAGAACAAAUGUGUAAGUAACUGUGCACAUCUUGACGGUACCUAAUCAGAAAGCCACGGCUAACUACGUGCCAGCAGCCGCGGUAAUACGUAGGUGGCAAGCGUUAUCCGGAAUUAUUGGGCGUAAAGCGCGCGUAGGCGGUUUCUUAAGUCUGAUGUGAAAGCCCACGGCUCAACCGUGGAGGGUCAUUGGAAACUGGGAAACUUGAAUACAGAAGAGGAAAGUGGAAUUCCAUGUGUAGCGGUGAAAUGCGCAAAGAUAUGGAGGAACACCAGUGGCGAAGGCGACUUUCUGGUCUGUAACUGACGCUGAUGUGCGAAAGCGUGGGGAUCAAACAGGAUUAGAUACCCUGGUAGUCCACGCCGUAAACGAUGAGUGCUAAGUGUUAAGGGGGUUUCCGCCCUUAGUGCUGCAGCUAACGCAUUAAGCACUCCGCCUGGGGAGUACGACCGCAAGGCUGAAACUCAAAGGAAUUGACGGGGACCCGC
rnacentral:rRNA from 1 species